ACAGACAAAAGUCGUGUCAAGUCUGAGCGAACAGACAAGGAUCUUGCUCCUUUGACGUUAGCGGCGGACCGGUGAGUAACACGUGGGUAACCUACCUAUAAGACUGGGACAACUUCGGGAAACCGGAGCUAAUACCGGAUACCAUUUCGAACCCCAUGGUUCCAUAGUGAAACAUGGUUUUGCUAUCACUUAUAAAUGGACCCGCGCCGUAUUAGCUAGUUGGAAGGCCCUUUUUUACCAAGGCAACGAUACGAAGCCGACCUGAGAGGGUGAUCGGCCACACUGGA
rnacentral:rRNA from 1 species